UCUUCAUCCUGUCUUUAUUUUCCACCUAACCUACUUCUCUUCUGCUCUUACUUCCUGUUUGCUUUAGAUUUCUUUAACUCUGGUGAUAGAGCUUAAAUGGUUGGUGUGUGGGCCUGCAGAGAUGGCUCAGUGGUGAAGCACUGACUGCUCUUCAGGAAAAUCCCAGUUUGAUUCCCAGGACCCUGUGUGAGUCAAAACCAUCCUUAGCUCCAGUGCUAUGGGAUCCAGUGGCCUCCAAGGGCACUGCAUGCACAUGGCACACAGACAUGCAUGCAGGAAACUGGAGCGCCCAUCCUGACGGACGAUGUCAGCCUGCAGGUGUUCAUGGAUCACUUGAAGAAGCUGGCUGUGUCCAGUGCCUCUUAAGCUGACGGCACAGCCCGGAAAUGGAAGACAGUGCUCUCAGACUGUGCUCACGUUGUUAUUGUCCUGGCAACAUUCCUUUUACCUUUCUGGGGGAUUCUAAUAAAUAACCCAAGGAAUUUUUUAUAUGUAUGUCUUCAGGUUAUAAUACAUCUUCAGGCUGUAAUUUAUUUGUAUUCCUUCUCUGUCUGUUUUCCUACUCAUGGAAUUAUAUGUCAUAAAUGUUCUGCUAAGUGUAGAUGUUUACUUACUUUUUAUACCUUAAUGUUUUAGAGUCUUUAUAAAAUCAGAGUUUAUGUAGUUUGGGCUGCUUGUUUAAGUGAAAGUCUUAAUGAUCAUAAAGAAAAUAAAUCUGGAUGAGGACAGCAUUGGCCAAAAUAAUGCAGAUUUUAUUUUUGAGUGGGUGUGUGUUUGAGAGGGAUAGAGAGAGAGAGAACAUGCAUGCUCAUGAAGGUUAGGGGACAACAUAGUGGAGGUGGCUCUUUCCUUCCACCUUGUGGGUUGUGGUUCUCAGGAAUAAAACUCAGGCCAUCAGUUUUGUCAACAAGUGCCCUUACCUACUGAGCCAUCUCAGUAGGGGAAGUAAAGCUUCAAGGGGAAGUAAAGUCCUAAGUAGACUGAAAGAGAACUGUGAGUUGGAUGUUAGGCCACCUGGACUGAUUAUAAUUGUCUACCUUUGAAGUUCAUAUUUACUCUCCUUUGUCUCCGUUCUAUGCUUUGGAAACAUUUAGUAUCUAACAGAUACAUUUCAGAUGUUAAGAGUUUAUAUAAUAUUUCCUUUCCCAGAGGAGAUUUUUAUGUAAUUUUCAAUUGAGACACAUCUUAUGGAAGAGGACAUAAAAUUUUAAGUGGAUUGGAACUAAAAUUCCCUCAUUGGACCUAUCUGUUACAAGUUAACAGAAGAAAGCAUAUGGCGGUUCCAUCGCAGCCAGGUUCUCUCCAGUAAGGUAAGAUGAGAGCACCUCUGAGUGACUGACAGAGAAGACGUGGCCAUACGGUGCCACUUCUAGGCCCCAGUGGGGAGGAGGGGUAGAGUGCUCCCUGAGUGGGUACCACUGAGUCCACUGUACCUCAUGAAAACUCUGAGCUCUGUUUGAAAUCAAGGCACACUUACCUCAGGCAGGGGCUGAAAUGGUCAGUUGUGGUGUAAAAAACUAGGACUUGAAUGGCAGGAAGGAUGGGAGAGAAAAAUGAGUCUUAAACCAGAGUAUGCUGUUCAGAAGUGAUGAACGCGACAACAUGAGAAGGGGGUCAAUAUUUCUUGGGGGGUGGUUUUUGCAGUCACUGCCUUAAUUAGGGAACAGAAGAGUGUUUCUUCUGUGUAGUUCAGUUCUGUACAUUUUAAGGAGCUUGUGUGAUAUACACAUUGGAAAUGUUCAGCAGGCUGACAGUGUGGAUUUGUAUACAGCAGAGUCUCGACUAGAGACUAAAAGGCUGUAAUAGGUAACAUGAGUCCAGUUGAUGAGAAUAAGAUGAGAGGCAAGUGUGAAAUAAUACAAUUGUUUUCCUUUUUACAACUUCAUUGAGAUAUACUUUAUAUACAAUAACUUCACCCAGUUAAGUGCACAAUUUAAUCAGCUUUGCUAGGGGAAACCUAUGUGUUGGCCGCAGACUACUGACCAGAUUUCCCCCUCUAUCAGUUUGCUUUUAGGUUGUAUGUCUGUUUACCUUUCAUUUACCCGAAUCAACUCGAAAUUCAUAUGUAUCGCCAAGUGGUACAUCACUUUUAUUCUCUUUUUCCUCAGAUAUUUGAGUGGUUUCUAUUCCUGUGAAUAAAAUAUGAACAGCGUGCGCA